rnacentral:rRNA from 1 species
GGGUCAGUAGGCUGGUCGUGCCACCGGUACGUACUGGUCUCACUGAUUCCUCCUUCCUGAAUAACCGUAAUGCCGUUAAUUUGGUGUUGCGGGGAAACAGGACUGUUACUUUGAAAAAAUUAGAGUGUUUAAAGCAAGCUAACGCUUGAAUACAUUAGCAUGGAAUAAUGAAAUAGGACGAUCGAUCCUACUUUGUUGGUUUCUAGGAUUGACGUA